AGGGUUUGAUCAUGGCUCAGAUUGAACGCUGGCGGCAGGCCUAACACAUGCAAGUCGAGCGGAUGACAGGAGCUUGCUCCUGAAUUCAGCGGCGGACGGGUGAGUAAUGCCUAGGAAUCUGCCUGGUAGUGGGGGACAACGUUUCGAAAGGAACGCUAAUACCGCAUACGUCCUACGGGAGAAAGCAGGGGACCUUCGGGCCUUGCGCUAUCAGAUGAGCCUAGGUCGGAUUAGCUAGUUGGUGAGGUAAUGGCUCACCAAGGCGACGAUCCGUAACUGGUCUGAGAGGAUGAUCAGUCACACUGGAACUGAGACACGGUCCAGACUCCUACGGGAGGCAGCAGUGGGGAAUAUUGGACAAUGGGCGAAAGCCUGAUCCAGCCAUGCCGCGUGUGUGAAGAAGGUCUUCGGAUUGUAAAGCACUUUAAGUUGGGAGGAAGGGCAUUAACCUAAUACGUUAGUGUUUUGACGUUACCGACAGAAUAAGCACCGGCUAACUCUGUGCCAGCAGCCGCGGUAAUACAGAGGGUGCAAGCGUUAAUCGGAAUUACUGGGCGUAAAGCGCGCGUAGGUGGUUUGUUAAGUUGGAUGUGAAAGCCCCGGGCUCAACCUGGGAACUGCAUUCAAAACUGACAAGCUAGAGUAUGGUAGAGGGUGGUGGAAUUUCCUGUGUAGCGGUGAAAUGCGUAGAUAUAGGAAGGAACACCAGUGGCGAAGGCGACCACCUGGACUGAUACUGACACUGAGGUGCGAAAGCGUGGGGAGCAAACAGGAUUAGAUACCCUGGUAGUCCACGCCGUAACGAUGUCAACUAGCCGUUGGGAGCCUUGAGCUCUUAGUGGCGCAGCUACGCAUUAAUUGACCGCCUGGGGAGUACGGCCGCAAGGUUAAAACUCAAUUGAAUUGAAGGGGGCCCGCACAAGCGUGGAGCAUGUGGAUUAAUUCGAA
rnacentral:rRNA from 1 species